GUUUUAAAAUGGGUUCCAAAGCCGCGCGCUCUGUCGGCCCAGCGGGUUCGCGGCACCAGAGGUGGUCCGCAGCCGCGCAAGGAUUCCCACGGUCGUUCUGGGCUGGGGCAGAAGCUGGUGCUCCAGCACCCAGCGGCCAGCAGGCUCGGCGAGGCACAUCUCCCCACCCCACCCCCACACACCCCCGUGGGGUGCGUCGAUCCUGUAGCUUAGAGGGAGAAGCUACUUAGAACUUCUUGAAGCACAGAGGAUCUGGAGCGAGCCCCGCAGCUGGAAAGAGUGGUCUUAAGUUGAACCCGCUUACAGUAAGAUGCAGCCCAGAUCACAGCGAAGUGUGGGGCCUGUCUCUAAAGCCGAGAAGGGAACCGCUUUAGAAAGUGGCGUGGGGGGAAGAAAGGAAAAAGAAAGAAUGAAUGAAUAGAAAGAAGAAGGAAUAUUAAAGAUCGGAGAGGAAGUUGAAGAGAGAAGAGUUUUCUCUUUCCUUUCUGUUCCUGUUGACUCGGGCCCUCAGAAUCUCGAUGAAGAUAACACAAGGAGUGCACAGGCAAGUGCCCAGUUGCCAGCAAUUGCUUCAAAAGCCCAUGUUCUUCUCUUUGCCCCACUCCUAGGCACAGCCAAAAUUGGUCAGAAAGGGGAGUAAAGUGGGACACGGGCUUCAAAGCAGGGAAGCCAAAGAAGGGAGCAUCCACGUCCUCCCUCUCCAGCUUCUCCCCUGCGUUCUUCGGGCGAAUCCGAGGGGCGGGCGCUGCGCUGGGGAAAGUUUGUCCCACCCGCGUUUCGCAGCUGGUUGCAAGGAGAGGAGGAGGAGAGGGAGGGUCGAGCUCGGAGCCUGUGGGCGCACGGAUGAUCGAGCCGGCGUCGCGCUUACCUCGCAGUCCUCGUACUUGAUAUUAUCUGUCAAUUUCCAAAGCAUUUUCAUGGAUCGGCGUGAACGGAUAUGCCCCUCUCCGUCUCGCACGCAAGUGGAGCUACUCUCAGGCUCUUUACCAACAGCCUAAUCGCCUCAUUAGCAUAUCAACAAUAGUCCAAUUGCUCGCCAGUACCACAAUCUGCCGCCGGCCGCUCCGACACAGAGAUGCCUUCUGCAAAGCCCGGCACUGCUCAAAGUCCAAGCCGCCACGCCUGGGGCCCGGCUUCUAGCACUUCUCCCUUAACCCCACUACCACGAUCCGAGCUGCCCUUUUGGCCCCGUGGAAUUUUAUUAGAAAUCAUUAUCCCUUUCGCAAUUAAACAUAACCACCAAACCAAGACCGGCGAAGUCACUCCAAAAUUUUUGCCCAACAAGGGAUCGCCUCCACUUGCGGCAGCCACCCCCUCGGGCCGCAGCGCCUUGGGAGUUUUAUUGGCUUUGAGCUUUCCCUCAAGUUGGAGAUUCUGCCAAGCGACUCCGGUGGCUCUGCUGGGGUUUGCAAUCCCUUAAUUGCGGCGUGUAAAAUAAAAGUUGUACCCUGAAGAGGUUACCUGACAGCUCCGGGGGUUAAAC